GCCUCCUUAGCUCAGGGGGAGUGCACUGGUCUUGUAAACCAGGGGUCGUGAGUUCGAUUCUCACAGGGGGCA
rnacentral:tRNA from 1 species